GAGGAUAUAGCUCAGUGGUAGAGUGCUUGCCUAGCAUGCACAAAGUCGUGGGUUCAAUCUCCAGUACCUCCA
rnacentral:tRNA from 1 species